AGGACGAACGCUGGCGGCGUGCUUAACACAUGCAAGUCGAGCGGAAAGGCCCUUCGGGGUACUCGAGCGGCGAACGGGUGAGUAACACGUGAGUAAUCUGCCCCUAGCUCUGGGAUAGCUCCGGGAAAACCGGGAUUAAUACCGGAUAUGACCACUUUAGACAUCUGUUGUGGUGGAAAGAAUUUCGGCUAGGGAUGAGCUCGCGGCCUAUCAGCUUGUUGGUGGGGUAACGCCUACCAAGGCGACGACGGGUA
rnacentral:rRNA from 1 species